rnacentral:rRNA from 22 species
GGCGACGAUCCCUAGCUGGUCUGAGAGGAUGACCAGCCACACUGGAACUGAGACACGGUCCAGACUCCUACGGGAGGCAGCAGUGGGGAAUAUUGCACAAUGGGCGCAAGCCUGAUGCAGCCAUGCCGCGUGUAUGAAGAAGGCCUUCGGGUUGUAAAGUACUUUCAGCGGGGAGGAAGGUGUUGUGGUUAAUAACCACAGCAAUUGACGUUACCCGCAGAAGAAGCACCGGCUAACUCCGUGCCAGCAGCCGCGGUAAUACGGAGGGUGCAAGCGUUAAUCGGAAUUACUGGGCGUAAAGCGCACGCAGGCGGUCUGUCAAGUCGGAUGUGAAAUCCCCGGGCUCAACCUGGGAACUGCAUUCGAAACUGGCAGGCUAGAGUCUUGUAGAGGGGGGUAGAAUUCCAGGUGUAGCGGUGA